GACGAACGCUGGCGGCGUGCUUAACACAUGCAAGUCGAACGAAGUGGCGAACGGGGGAGUAACGGGUAAUCAACCUGCCCUUCAGAGGGGGACAACAGUUGGAAACGACUGCUAAUACCGCAACCGGAAGGAGGGGAUUGCGUCUGAUUAGCUAGUUGGAGGGGUAACGGCCAACCAAGGCGAUGAUCAGAAGACGGUCUGAGGUGAUGAACGGCCACAUUGGGACUGAGAGACGGCCCAGACUCCUACGGGAAGCAGCAGUGGGGAAUCUUCCGCAAUGGACGAAAGUCUGACGGGGCAACGCCGCGUGAGUGAUGACGGCCUUCGGGUUGUAAAGCUCUGUUAAUCGGGACGCGGUACCGGAAUAGAAAGCCACGGCUAACUACGUGCCAGCAGCCGCGGUAAUUC
rnacentral:rRNA from 1 species